GCCUCAGUAGCUCUUUUGUUGAGUGAAGCAUCCCUCCCAACGUGACAGGCCGCACUGGAGACGGUACUCACCAGGACGUUUCUUCAACUCAGUGUUUACUUCCGAGGAGUCAGGAGCUGGAUGCAAGUGAAAAGGGGUGUUUUGGUCCUAAUUCCUUGCAGCACAUUUCUAGUCCCGAUGAGCCAGUGGGGUCUCAUUAAUACCUCCGCUGUAUUGAGGCCUUGACACCCGAGAGCAGUGAGUGGUUACCUGAGCUCCAGAGGGAUGACUCUCCGGAGGCCAGCUGCCCACCUACCAAGAGCUCCAAGCUGGAGGAGAUCAGGGGAUGAGUCCUACUGGGAGAGCUUGAAACCAGAAGGGGAGGUUUCUCGCCUCCGACGUGCACCUCGGCCCCAGAGUGCCAUCGAAGGAGGACGCCAGCUGGACGGAUGGCUGGAGCAUCUGCAGAGGAUAGAGAGGAAACUUCUCACAGCCCCGGUUCAUAACCAGGCUCCAGCUUUCAGUGAUUGGAAGACAUCCAUGCCUGCUCCGGACACAGGGCCAACCCGACCUGUCUGGAGACGGCCGGAGGUCCCCUCUUACAGCAGGGCCUCGUCUUCAUGUGGGAGUCCCAGCCUGUGCGAGAGCUCGCUGGGCAGCCAGGAGUCCCUCCAAACGGGUUUCUUUUCUCCUCCGGAGCGCACAGGAAGCUGGGAGAGAGUUCACAUGAUGCAGACCCCAAGGAAGGAGCGCGCUCAACUCAGCUGUCUCGCUCCGGUCAAAACCGGCUGGCUGCCAAUCCAGAGAAGAGUGAGGCGGGUGGAUGAUGCUUGUAACCAAAACCAGUCUUUGGACCAGUCUGCGGGACAGGUGAAAUUGAAAGAAGCAAUCACUCCAACAAUUUGGAUGAAUCGAGCAACGGCCCACAGGCUGCAGGAUGGAGAGGUGGAGAAAAGUCACAACGGUCCCAAUGCUGUGUGUGUGAAGACGUGGCAGGCCCGUGAUCAAGACUCUGCCGCUAUCAAACAGGUGCCAGAAAGUCGGAGCUUCCCUGCUCUUGAAGGGGACCGAAGUGGAGGCGUUCAAGCUCUGAGGAGAGGCUGGAAUACCAACAGGGCGUCCGCUUUCCCUGGAGGCAGCCAGUCCAAUGUGCUCCCCGCAGGGACCAGCUCAGUUACCAAUAGGUCCUCGUUGAUGACAACAAGCAGCGCAGUCCCCCUCCAGCAAGCUCCCACGCAUCAAACGACUUUUGCCGGUCCCAUCCCCAAUGCAAACAAGUCCCACGUGCCUUUGCACAGGACAGGCGGUGCUCAGCCUGUGAGGGCAACAGUCUCACAGCCGUCACACAUACAGACCGACUCCGCUGUGACCACACUAAUCCCUCGGAACAAGGCCGGCUUCUCCUCCAUCACCAUCUCCUCCAGGAGAGUGAGCAGAUCGGCCAGUCUGCCCGGCUCCGACGCCCGCCCCGCCGAACCCCGUUCCCCGCCCAUGGACCCGAACUCCGGGCGGGUCACGGUGCAGAGGAAAGCCACCAUUGUCAAGGUGACGGAGCAGAGGACCUUUUCCAGCCCCUUCUCGAGCACGAAGAGGGAGGGGACGCCGCCGGCCGGGGAGGCCUCGGACACAGAGGUCCACAGAAGAAAGGCCACCAUCAUCAAAGUGACGGAACACAGGGAGAGCUACAGUCCAGCCAGGGAAGAGUCUGGGACCAGGCGCCCAGGCUACAGACACAGCUACUCUGGGGGGGUGUACGAGGAAAACAGCACGUGGAGUCCGCGGAAACUUUCGCGGCACUCUGCGGCGCCCUCUGGAUUCCACCUGGAUUCCACGAAGAGGCCAAACUCGGCUGUAGCACCGCAUGCAUCCCCUCUGGAUCCAGUGGAAAACGAUGGCGCACUGCGCAGGUCCUCGCUGUGUUUUGUGUGCGCCCCCCCCCCGAUGUAG
ensembl:lncRNA